rnacentral:rRNA from 1 species
AGAUUGAACGCUGGCGGCAUGCCUAACACAUGCAAGUCGAACGGGAGUAGCAAUACUCUAGUGGCGGACGGGUGAGGAAUACGUAGGAAUUUGCCCUUAAGUGGGGGAUAACCCGGGGAAACCCGGAUUAAUACCGCAUGACCUCGAAAGAGCAAAGUGGGGGAUCGCAAGACCUCACGCUUUUGGAGAAGCCUACGUCGGAUUAGCUAGUUGGUGAGGUAAUGGCUCACCAAGGCGACGAUCCGUAACUGGUCUGAGAGGAUGAUCAGUCACACCGGAACUGAGACACGGUCCGGACUCCGUACGGGAGCAGCAGGUGGGAAUAGUUGGACAAGUGGGCNCAAGCCUAGACUCCAGCAAGUCGCCGCGUGUG